AGCAGCCGCGGUAAUUCCAGCUCCAAUAGCGUAUAUUAAAGUUGCUGCAGUUAAAAAGCUCGUAGUUGAAUUUCGGGACCAAUCUGUCGGUCGUGCCUCGGUACGCACUGGCUUAUUGGUUUCUCCCUUCUGAAGAACCAUGAUGUCAUUCAUUUGGUGUCGUGGGGAAUCAGGACUGUUACUUUGAAAAAAUUAGAGUGUUUAAAGCAGGCUCACGCUUGAAUACAUUAGCAUGGAAUAAUGAAAUAGGACGUUCGAUUCUAUUUUGUUGGUUUCUAGGUUCGACGUAAUGAUUAAUAGGGAUAGUUGGGGGCAUUAGUAUUCAAUUGUCAGAGGUGAAAUUCUUGGAUUUAUUGAAGACUAACUACUGCGAAAGCAUUUGCCAAGGAUGUUUUCAUUAAUCAAGAACGAAAGUUAGGGGAUCGAAGACGAUCAGAUACCGUCGUAGUCUUAACCAUAAACCAUGCCGACUAGGGAUCGGAUGAUGU
rnacentral:rRNA from 1 species